AGGUAGGAAGAUUUAAAGCUCUGGGUAAGGUUGCACAAGACUGCAUCCACUAUAUUUUAUCCUUUGUGCCGCUUGGAUCCACUUGCUUCAUAAAAUUUCUGGGAACAGAUCCAUCAGGAUUCUGGUGGACCUCAUUUCCCAGAGGAAAUGUGUAAAAGGAAGUUUAGUGGGAUUAACUAUAGCCUCUCCCACUGAAGCCAGGCACUUGCUCACAACUGAUGCUCAUCAUCUCCAUCCUCCACUAUCCAUUCAAGAUUCCCCUCACCUUUGGCUAGGAGCUCAACUUGUUUAGGAGGUUUAUUUGGUGACAGAACAAAGAACCUCAUACCUGAAGUUCCUGAUACCCUGGUAACCAUGCUAUGGUUUGCAUGCGGCUGCAACACUCAUUCUUUAACUGAGAUUGAAUUUGUCUGUUGGGGAAUGUAGAAGCAAGUUUUGCAUCAUCUUGGA
rnacentral:lncRNA from 1 species